rnacentral:rRNA from 1 species
AUACGUAGGUGGCGAGCGUUAUCCGGAAUUAUUGGGCGUAAAGGGUGCGUAGGCGGCCUGUUAAGUUUAAGGUGAAAGCGCGGGGCUUAACCCCAUAAAGCCUUAGAUACUGGCAGGCUAGAGUACUGGAGAGGAAAGUGGAAUUCCAUGUGUAGCGGUAAAAUGCGUAGAGAUAUGGAGGAACACCGGUGGCGAAGGCGGCUUUCUAGACAGUAACUGACGCUGAGGCACGAAAGCGUGGGGAGCAAAUAGGAUUAGAUACCCUAGUAGUCCACGCUGUAAACGAUGAAUGCUAAGUGUUGGGGUAACCCAGUGCUGCAGUUAACGCAAUAAGCAUUCCGCCUGUGGAGUAUGCACGCAAGUGUGAAACUUAAAGGAAUUGACGGGG